ACGAAGUUAAUCCAAAACAGUGUGGGAAGCAAUAUGGACCCAUUUGCUAAUGGAAAGGAAGGGUGAGUUUCAAUGGAAUGAUUCCGUAUUUUGAAAAAACUUUGGAAACGGGUGGGGGCCAUUGGAGUGAAUUCACAAGCUUAAUUAAAUUAAAUAUAGUUGAUGCUGGUGUUAGGCUUUUCUUGAGGGACAGGACACAUAACUUUCUACAGAGACAGGUUCUACAGGAGAGAGAAGUCCAGGGGAGAAGAACCUUGGGAGACACAUUCCCUGCAGUUUCUAAAACCAGCAACUUGUAUGUCAGCAACCGACCCCACUUGGAUUUGGAAUUCACUGAACCCAACCCUGUUUCUCUCUCUAUCUCUCUUUCUGCAUGAUAGCAAUAGUGAUAAUUCAAAUACAGUGCUACAACCCAGAGCUCCAUCAAAAGGAAGGGGUACCAAUCCUCCGUUCCACCAUAUAACUUCCAUAACAUCUUCAGAAAUUAUGAUAUCAGAAAACCCACUUCUCCUUUUUUAUGCUUGUUUUUGUUUUGAUGAGUUUUUUAUGCUUUAGGCUACCACUAAACAGAUAGGAACUGUAAGAGGAGUUUGGGAAAAUUAGGGGGCUGAGAUGCAAAGGGUGCAUAAAGGUGCUUCUCUGUCUUGUUGCCUUAUUCGGAAAUUUUACUACCACCAGCAUCAAAGGCUUCAGCAGCUUCAUCAACAUCACAGCUGGAUUAUUGGGGACGACGUCUCAUGGUUUGCGAGUUGAACUAAAGUUUUGAUUCUUUGGGAACAGACGAAGACGCGUGGUAUUGAUUUGUUUGAAGACGGCUGGAAAAGUUUCUCCUAGUGAUACCAAAAGUCUAUUUUCAUUGCAAGAUUUUGUUUACUUCACUUUGCAUUUUUAGUUGGUAAGACUGUUAGUUCUGAACCUGGGAUCUAGGCAGCAUUAGUUUCUAAGAAGAAACACUGCAUUGGGCUGUUGAAGUACAAGGAUAGCAACCUUAAAAGGAUUCUGCGAGUUGUAUAUUUGAUUGAAUAUUGCAACUACAAGAAUUCCCUCUCCACGUUUGCACCAGCAUUAUAACUAUGGCCCACUUGUGUUAGAAUUUUGAAGAGUGUUGAAGUUUGCACAUUUCACAUUUCUUGGGUGGCUAUAUAUCUUUGAAUUGAGUCAUUUGUCAUUUACAUUGGUUCAAUCUGAACUGGGGUGCUGUGAAUUAAGUGGCUAGGAGAUCUUUAAAUGAGAUUUGAACUUCCUGAGGUGGAUCUGAGAUUGUUGAAAGGUUUGAGUUGUUUACAAAAUCAUUCUGCAAGUUUCAUUAUGGAUGCGAGAUCAAGAAAGGUUCCUGGUCCUCUGGUUGAAGGAAAGAAGAUUGAAUACCAACGCAGCCUGUCACAUGGGAAGGGGAGCAGCAGAAGAUUGUUGGCUUCAAGUUACUUCAGCUUAGAGUCAUUGCUUUUGCUUGUAUGUCUCACGGCUUCUUUGCUGAUUCUUCCAUUGAUACUUCCACCUUUGCCUCCCCCACCAUUCAUGCUGCUUCUGCUUCCAAUAGGGAUCCUAGCAGUUCUUAUGGUUUUGGCUUUCAUGCCUUCUAAUGUGAGGGAUAUAACCUAUACAUAUGUGUAAAUGGUGUAAUAAACAUGCACAGCAGUACAUGCACCUUUGUCAUCA